UACGUAGGGUGCAAGCGUUAAUCGGAAUUACUGGGCGUAAAGCGUGCGCAGGCGGUUUGUUAAGUCCGUUGUGAAAGCCCCGAGCUCAACUUGGGAAUUGCAGUGGAUACUGGCAGGCUGGAGUACGGUAGAGGAAGGUGGAAUUCCCGGUGUAGCAGUGAAAUGCGCAGAUAUCGGGAGGAACACCGGUGGCGAAGGCGGUUCUCUGGGCCUGUACUGACGCUGAGGAGCGAAAGCGUGGGGAGCGAACAGG
rnacentral:rRNA from 1 species